GUGCGAAGGCUGUUCGUGCUGUAUUGAUCCCUUUGCAAAGAUGUCAGCUUCAGUCGAACCACAGCUGUGGCCAAAAAGCCGUGCACAAACCAGAUCAAAGGUCUGCAGCGCGUGAAAGCCUUAUGUCGGAUUCUGAUGGUCAACAGUGAGAUUGAGGCUCUCUCACAGACGUACUACAAGAUGGCCUACGAGCAUAAAGCCUUCCUCAAAGUGAGCCUUCAGAAGAAAGAUAUUCUCACUGGUUGCUGCGUGCUUGUAAGCUGCAGGCUGCUCAACUGGCCCACUACCAUAGGAACCAUCAGCUGUCUACUGGAUGCCGACCCAAUGAUGGUGGGAGCAGUUUAUCAAGAAAUGGUGAAGAACCUCAGCAUCGAGGCCCCGAUCGUCAACGUCACCGAUGUAAUAGAAGCUCACUGUCACGAGAGGUGUUUGUGUCUGCAUCAAACUUUAAAACCUGUUUCAUUGGAGGCAAGUGGAGCAGUGUGAACACAAGGAUGUGACCGGUGAUGAGGAAAUCUCUGACAGUGAAAUCAACUCAUACAUUCGCACUCCUCGGGAGGCUCGAGACUUUGCUCUAAUGCAGCAGAUGUUGCCUUUAUCUGACAGUGUACAGCUCUCAUCACUUAAAGGUACAAUAAUACACUAAUGGACAACAUUUGGAAGAGUUUUCUUCUGUGCAUCAUACCUCUUUUGUGACAACACCAUAAACUGUAAGUACAACUCUUCUGGAUAUAUGAGCCCUGUGGAGUAUAAUGAGCCCUUUUUUUUGCUGAAGUCAUGCUGACAUAUCCUAGCACAUUCAGGGUCGUGGUACUUGACAGGUAAACAGGUUUUUUGUGAAGGAAGACACCUGAAACACUUUAAUUAAAAAAGUAAAGCAUUUAAUAUAUUAAAGGAUCAGGAAAAAUACACACAUGGCCA